rnacentral:rRNA from 1 species
UACGUAGGGGGCAAGCGUUGUCCGGAAUUACUGGGCGUAAAGCGCGUGUAGGCGGGACGGUUAGUCGGACGUGAAAGGCUGGGGCUCAACCCCAGAUCGCCGUUCGAAACUGCCGUUCUUGAGGGUCGAAGAGGAGAGUGGAAUUCCUGGUGUAGCGGUGAAAUGCGCAGAUAUCAGGAAGAACACCCGUGGCGAAGGCGGCUCUCUGGGACGGUACUGACGCUGAGACGCGAAAGCGUGGGGAGCGAACAGG